rnacentral:rRNA from 1 species
GACGAACGCUGGCGGCGCGCUUAACACAUGCAAGUCGAACGGAAAGGCCUGCUUUCCCUUGUGGAUUGCGGGUACUCGAGUGGCGAACGGGUGAGUAACACGUGAGUGAUCUGCCCCCAACUUGGGUAUAAGCCUGGGAAACUGGGUCUAAUUCCCGAUAGGACUGCAGGGAGGUGCCUGUGGUGGAAAACGAUUUUCUAGUGGUUGGGGAUGAGCUCGCGGCCUAUCAGCUUGUUGGUGGGGUAAUGGCCUACCAAGGCGGCGACGGGUAGCCGGCCUGAGAGGGUGGACGGCCACAUUGGGACUGAGAUACGGCCCAGACUCCUACGGGAGGCAGCAGUGGGGAAUAUUGCACAAUGGGCGGAAGCCUGAUGCAGCGACGCCGCGUGGGGGAUGACGGUCUUCGGGUUGUAAACUCCUUUCGACCGCGAGGAAGCCACCUGGUUGGAAGGGUGGUGACGGUAGUGGUAGAAGAAGCACCGGCUAACUACGUG